rnacentral:rRNA from 1 species
UGGUUGAUCCUGCCAGUAGUGAUAUGCUUGUUUCAAAGAUUAAGCCAUGCAUGUCUAAGUAUAAGCGAACUUAUACAGUGAAACUGCGGAUGGCUCAUUAAAACAGUUUGAAUUUAUUUGAUGAAUGUAUGAGAAUACUACUUGGAUAACCGUAGUAAUUCUAGAGCUAAUACAUGCAACGACGCCCGACCGUUUCACUACGGAAGGGCUGUAUUUAUUGGAUACCAAAACCAUCCUUCCCUCGGGAAGCUUUGUUUGAUGAUUCACAAUAACUGAUCGGAUCGCCACUGUGGUGGCGACAGGUCAUUCAACAUUCUGCCCUAUCAGCUUUCGAUGGUUGUGUAGUGGACAACCAUGGCCAUAACGGGUAACGGAGAAUCAGGGUUCGAUUCCGGAGAAGGAGCUUGAGAAUUGGCUACUACAUCUAAGGAAGGCAGCAGGCGCGCAAAUUACCCAAUCCCGAUUCGGGGAGGUAGUGACAAAAAAUAACAAUACCGGGCCUUUUUGGGCUUGGUAAUUGGAAUGAGGGAGAGUUAAACGGACCAUCGAGUAUCCAUUGGAGGGCAAGUCUGGUGCCAGCAGCUGCGGUAAUACCAGCUCCAAUAGCGUAUAUUAAAGUUGUUGCAGUUAAAAAGCUCGUAGUUGGACUUGUGUGCGCUGUCCGCGGGUGGCCUGCGCCCAAAAGGGCGUUUCGGUUCGGCCCCGGUGGCGCCUUGAAAUCUGCAGCUGGGGGGACGUUGGCCUUAACUGGUCGGCGACCGCACGCCGGCUGCUCGGUUACUGUGAGAAAAUUAGAGUGUUCAAGGCAGGCAUUGGGUGCAAUUGAAUACAUUAGCAUGGAAUAAUAAAAUAUGGCUCCUGCCGUAUUUUGUUGGUUUUGACUGGUGGGAGUAAUGAUUGAUAGGGACGGUUGGGGGUGCUAGUAUUGAGCGGCCAGAGGUGAAAUUCAUGGAUUCGCUCAAGACUAACUUAUGCGAAAGCAUUCACCAAGGACGUCCUCUUUAAUCAAGAACGAAAGUUGGGGGAUCGAAGACGAUCAGAUACCGUCGUAGUCUCAACCAUAAACUAUGUCGACUUGGGAUCGGCGGUAGUUUUUUCAUUAAGACACUGUCGGGACCACGGGAGAAAUCAAGGUGUCUGGACUCUGGGGGAAGUAUGGUCGCAAGGCUGAAACUUGAAGGAAUUGACGGAAGGGCACCACCAGGAGUGGAGCCUGC